UGCCAGGUUCACUCCUUCCCUUCGGAGCCAAGACCCUGGGACAAGCUGGGCCUUUUGCUGUCCCCUUAGUACACUGCGUCCUAGCCUCUGUCCCCUCCACUCUCUACACACCUCUCUGGCCAGGGUCUCCAGGCACCUCCCUGCUGCUAAAUUCAACGGACACCUUUUGGGCCUUAUCUUCCUCCGUCUCAGCCCAGCGCCUGACGCUACUGACGACCCCAUCCGGCGGCAUCUGCUUUGGCAGGCAGGAUGCCACUUGCUGUGAUUGUCCUCCCUUCUCUGCUGCUGCCCUUCUCCUCCCAGGCUCCUCCUCUCCAGCCCUGGAAGGUGAGUGCUCCCAGCAUUCCAUCCUCUUCUCAUUUUCUGCCCACUUUCCCUCAGGGACCUCACCUAAACUCACACCUCUGACUACCACCCACAAGGCAGACAGCACCUCUCAGUUCCUGCCCAGACCUGUCUGCACAGCCCGGGCCUGCAGGUCCACCCUGAGCUGGCCCGUGGCACCUCAGACAAGCGCCCCAAACUGACCAGACCUCUUCCGCUACCCCUGCGCCCCGUGCUGCAUUCCCUGGGCACCUGAGCUGAGGAUGAGCCUGCCUCCUUCCUUCCUCUGCCUCACCCUCAGGCACCUGCCAGCUCUCCUCCUUACAGCUCUCGGAUGCCCCCACCCACUCCCCGCCAGCCAUCACAGGCCCUCCUGAACUGGCUUCAUCACCUCUUGCCUGGAUCACUGCAGCCGCCUCCUAGCUGGUUUCCCAUGCUUGCUUCUCCUGCCGGAUCAUCUAGUCCUCGCGCUGCCGCCAGAAAGACAUUUCCAAAAGGCACAUCGGACGGUGUCCCUCUGCUCACACAUCCUUCAGUGGCCCUGCGUGAUUAAUGCCAAGACCCUCAGCUUCGCUCACGAGGUCCUGCUUGCUGGCCCUGCCUCACCUCUCCCCACAUUCCAGACCAACCAAGCUAAGUCUUCGUCCUUCUCUGGCAGAAACUUACCCUCCUGCCCCCUAGCCCCUUUCUCCCCUCUCUCUCCUUCCCUCACAGGCCCCACUUUCUGGAAGGGGUCUUCCCCAGUGAUCCAGAUCUGUGCUCCUGGGGCCCCGUGGUCACAGCACCUAGCCAUCCCCUCCCCCUCCCAGCACUGAGCGUGUGUAUGUGUGUGUGUUGGGGGGCGGGUGUCAGUGAUGGGCGGGGCCUGAGCCAAACACGAACAAGGGUAGGAACAAGUAACCAACAUGCACUGGGAGCCGACCAGACUGGGUUGUGCUGACACUGACACGAACUAUCUGUUUUAAUUCUUCCAACAACCUGGUGAGGGGUGUUCCCAUCGACAGGGAGGGCACUGAGGCCCUGAGACAUCAAGCAACUUGCCCAAAGCUAACAGCAGAGCCAGGAGUGGAACCCAGAUGUCAACGGAUCAAUGGUUGUGGGGUGAACCCAAGUCUUCAGUGAAGCGUGGACCUUUGAUAAGUGUAGAAGGAGAAGCAGGGGGCGAGAGGAGGACGAAGGCGAGGGGAGCAAGACGGUGGAGCGGAAGCGGCAGCCUGGCUGUGUGCCCUCCCAUGGCCUGGGCUCCAGGCCCCUCUGGCAACCUCUGCUGUCUGGAGGGAACAGGAACCCUGCUGCAGUCACUUCGCCUCCGUGGGGAGGAGAGAGAUCCCUGGGAAGAAACCACUGGCAGGUGCGACAGGAGAUGAAGGGAUAAGGAGGCCGCAGGCUCUGACUCAGCUGGUUCCCAGGGAAAAGGGCUUGACCUGGCCCAUGCGGGAUUAAGAAAAGGAGGCACAGGCUCUCGGAGGCCCUCCCCACCCUGGCCCCUGCCCCCGCCACCUGCUGACCCCUUCUGCCCCUAUUGGGGAAGGGUGGGUUGAGGACGGUAGGAGCGGGUUAAGGCAUCCUACCUCCCCCUGCCCCAGUUGUGGUACUCAGUCACCGAGGAGACAUGAAGGCCCUUCUGGGGCAGGAAGCAGCCUGGAGCCUGAGAAGGCACCUCAGGGCAGAUGGAUUGGUCAGUAUUUUAAGCCCAGGUGAGAUGGAGGACCUCACAGCAGCUCCUCCUCUGGCCCCCCUGCUCCCUGGGAAGCUCAGCCGCCGUUCUCUCCCCCUCCCCUAAAAUGAUCCUAAUUCCAGAAGCCUCCCUCUCCAAGUCCCUGGGUCCCCCUGCCCCACUGGAGUGGGCCUGUGGGCAACUUCCCGAGUCAAGAAUCAGUUGCCUACAGCUCCAGGCAAACGGGGGUGGGGGUGGGGAUUUGUAGGAGGUGGUCACGUGACCGUCUGGGCGGAGACCCAGGGGCUCAGAGUUAAUUCCUCCGUGUUCACAUGGCCCAGCAUUCCAGAGCUGCCUGUCCCCGGGUGCUGGCCGCCAGCGUUGCCCCCGGCACCCUCAGCAACCCAAACCUGUUCUCAGAGGCAGCUGGACCUCCUCAAGCUGUGGUUUCUGAACCACUGCCCAUGGCUCUGGAUUUCACAUGCUGGCUCCUCCUUGCAACAAAACCCAGGCCUCCCUGGAAGGGUUUGCACUGGUGGAGAGUGAAGUGUUGGGGCGUGGGCCUGGGGAGCGUGUGAACGAUCUUCCCCUGUGAGAGAGGGAGUGAGGCCAAGCUGGGGGGGGGGGGGGGGGAAGUUACUCACUGUUCUGUGACUUGGUUGCCUUGUCUGUAAAAUGGGAGUAAUGACAGUACCUACUAUGGGUAUUUUCCUGUCAAAGGAGAAUAAUGGCAACGAGCAGCCUCCAAACCUUGCCAUAAUAAAGGAACAACAGUAUAUGACCAUGCCUAGCCCAGAGGGUCCAGAGGUUACGUUCAAUAACAUUUCUCCCUCGCUCUUUUCUUUUAGCCACAGUUUCCCAGUCUGUCACCUAAGAGACCUGAGGAAGCAGUUCUGCCAGCUUCACCAAGCUGCUGUGGGGGAUGGGAAAGGGAGAAGAAUGUGGCAGUAGGGGAAAGCGCUGGACACUGCAGGGAAUACCUGGUGUCCAUGGCCACUGCCCCAUCCCCAUCCUUUCCAGAGAACACCCCCCAGCCACAAUGGGGCUGGCUUAGGAAGCCCAACGCUAGCACCACAGCGAUGUAGGCAACAGAGAGCCAAGGGAGGUUUCUAAGCAAGGAGAUGACAUGUUCAGAUGUGUAAAAGAAUUGCCUGCUACAGAGCCCUGGCCUGGAAUGCGUGGAGACUGGAGCCCACGAGAGACCAGUUGGGAGGUUGCGACACUGCUCUCGAGUCUAGCCUGAAGUGCGGACCCACCAAUCAUGGGUCCACAAUGUGGUACCCACAGGAGGUCUCAUCGAGGCAGGUUUCCUUAGUGAAACCUAACUGGCCGCCUGUGCUGGAUGCUUCAUCAUUACAGCUCUGCCUCUCCUGCACCCAGCAACAAGAGGGAGCAAACUACAGUUCUCAGCUCUUCAUGACAGGCCCCUUUCCUACCUAUGUGCACUAAAUCGAGGAUCCCAUAAUCCUAAAAGUUCCUGAAAGUAAUAAAAGAGCGAUGAAGAGGCAGCGGAAGGCCAGCAGGAGCGGAUGCGCACGCAGAGGCAGGUGACGGGGCCAACUCCCACUUGGCUCCACCGGACGGUACUCAGCGGGUUCGCACCUGGACCGGUCAUCCACACGUCCAAGUCGGCGUGUGCAGCUCAAUGCUGUGGCUGCACCCGCCAUGCCUUCAUUCACUGGUGGUUUAAGUUACACCCGUGACGCUCUAUCCCUGUAUUCUCAGGCUGCUGAGCUUCACCCAUUUCAUGGGUGUGUGCGGUGGGCGUGGGGGUUGGGGGCACCUCAGAGGAUCUUCCAGGCGAAACACGCUUGGUUUUUAUUAAUGAGCUGAUGAGAAAAGCCAACCCAGACCCUUAAGUGAAAUGUGUGAUUGCUGGCCAGGCGAGAAUAGGCUUUAGGAUUAACUCUUCCUACAGUCUGCUGUGCAUUGUCACCCCCAAGUUAAUUACCCCUGAGGAUGAAAAUAGCUUCCGUGACUCAUAAGCACCAAUACAACACUUGGCAGCAGAUGAAAAUGCAAGGACACAUUUGCAGGAAGCUGACACGCACAUCUAUUUAUAUGUGGGAAGAUUCUUGAUGAGGUGAGACAGGUACCUCCCGGGUACCAGGAUUAAGAGGCUGCAGCAGAUACGCCAACUGCCAUUUAUUCACACCUCCAAACACACACACACACACACACACACGCACGCACACGCACACAAACACAGAGUCAUGGUUUCCACUACUUCAGUGAUGGUGGCGGCAAAGCAGGAACAGAAACUGAAAGCAUGUUGUUAACAGCAAGUCUGAACACCAACCCAACCUCCACCUCGGUGUUCUGGGCUAACCAGUGACUUGUUUUUCCCCAAACUCACCUGCUCCCUUAUUCGCUAUUCCUCUGGCCUUGUGCGGACAGUCCUGGCCCAGUUUGCCUCCACCAGGAAUGGGGUGUGGCCAGGAAUGGAUUUCUGAUAGGAUCUGGGGUUGUGUUUUGCUUCCUCCCUCCCCAUUUCCUACUCCCCUUCCAUUUGCCUCCCAGGAAAGUACAAGGUUCAAACCAGGUUUGUUUGCCUUCCCUCAGAGCUCUGGGAGGGCUCCAGAGCCCUAAAGGACAUUCCAGUCCCAUCCCCAUCCCUCUGUACCUCACAAAUGCCACCAAAAAGUCAACUAGAUGAAUAAUCGCAUUUCUUCACCAGUGGGGACGGGUUCUAUUUGGUGUCAUAAGCGAUUGUUCCUCCACGGUUUGGGACUCUCUCUUCCCCACUCUCCACAACCAGCUAAGUGUCCUGCCUUUUGAAAUGAUUAUCAAAAAGGAAGGGAAAGAAAAAAACGUCAUGAAUGAGGUGAAACUUCUCCUCCGAUGCAUGAACUGGAAGCUGCUGGGAACUCAGUCCUGAGAACAUGGAUUUGUUUCCCACUUCCCACACCCCUCCUGCCUCCACUGCUGGCUCCCAGCUCUGUGACAUGUUUGCUUUAAAUGUGCAAUAACAGUGAUUUUUGCCACAUCUA